rnacentral:rRNA from 1 species
UGAGGAAUAUUGGACAAUGGGCGGAAGCCUGAUCCAGCCAUGCCGCGUGAGUGAUGAAGGCCCUAGGGUUGUAAAGCUCUUUCAGCGGGGAAGAUAAUGACGGUACCCGCAGAAGAAGCCCGCGACAUUCGUGCCAGCAGCCGCGGUAAUACGGAGGGGGUAGCGUUGUUCGGAAUUACUGGGCGUAAAGCGUACGUAGGCGGCUUUGUAAGUUAGAGGUGAAAGCCCGGAGCUCAACUCCGGAAUUGCCUUUAAGACUGCAUCGCUUGAAUCAUGGAGAGGUUAGUGGAAUUCCGAGUGUAGAGGUGAAAUUCGUAGAUAUUCGGAAGAACACCAGUGGCGAAGGCGACUAACUGGACAUUGUAUUGACGCUGAGGUACGAAAGCGUGGGGAGCAAAACA